AUUCCAGCUCCAAUAACGUAUAUUAAAGUUGUUGCGGUAAAAAAGCUCGUAGUUGGAUUUCUGUUGAGAACGACCGGUCCACACAACGUGUGCGCAUCUGGUUCGGUCUCGGCAUCCUCUCGAAAGACGACUCUGCGCUUGAUUGCGUGGAUCGGAUUCCUGGACUUUUACUUUGAGGAAAUUAGAGUGUUCACGGCAGGCUAUCGCCAGGAUACAUUAGCAUGGAAUAAUACUAUAGGAUCUUGAUCCUAUUUUGUUGGUUUCUAGGAGCAAGAUAAUGAUUAAUAGGGACAAUUGGGGGCAUUCGUAUCAACACGUCAGAGGUGGAAUUCUUGGAUUGUGUUGCGACGAACUACUGCGAAAGCAUUUGCCAAGGAUGUUUUCAUCA
rnacentral:rRNA from 1 species